UUUUACGUCGAAUAGAAAGCGAGCAGAGAUGAUUGUGGAUUGCUACCCGUCCAUGAAGCAAGAUAAACACGAAAGGGGAGCAGAUUCUAGAGAAAGGAAGAUGUUUCAUGAGGACACGUGUCCCAAUGACGUGUCCUUGGUCGUUUGGACAGGCACCUGGCUGGCUAGGACUCUGGAGCAUGGAGAAGGUGCUUCCUGCUUCUAGGACUUUUGACUUCAAAAUCAAGGGCAGUCAACUCAAACUUAUGCAGUCAAUAUGUGAUCAUUUUCACUACAUCUUUGAAGAAUCUCUUCAUAUUAUAUA